rnacentral:rRNA from 1 species
GAUGAACGCUGGCGGCGUGCCUAAUACAUGCAAGUCGAGCGAACGGACGAGGAGCUUGCUUCUCUGAAGUUAGCGGCGGACGGGUGAGUAACACGUGGAUAACCUACCUAUAAGACUGGGAUAACUUCGGGAAACCGUAGCUAAUACCGGAUAAUAUGUUGAACCGCAUGGUUCAACAGUGAAAGACGGUUUUGCUGUCACUUAUAGAUGGAUCCGCGCUGCAUUAGCUAGUUGGUAAGGUAACGGCUUACCAAGGCAACGAUGCAUAGCCGACCUGAGAGGGUGAUCGGCCACACUGGAACUGAGACACGGUCCAGACUCCUACGGGAGGCAGCAGUAGGGAAUCUUCCGCAAUGGGCGAAAGCCUGACGGAGCAACGCCGCGUGAGUGAUGAAGGUCUUCGGAUCGUAAAACUCUGUUAUUAGGGAAGAACAGAUGUGUAAGUAACUGUGCACGUCUUGACGGUACCUAAUCAGAAAGCCACGGCUAACUACGUG